AGUUCAACCAAGUCCCCACUGUCAUAUGCCGAAUAGACUUUGUGGAAAACAUUAAACACUAAGUAGUUAUGGUGUGUGAAUCUGCCUGAAUGGGAUCAGCUAGAGCUUUUAUCUUUAAAAUUAAGUGAAAAUCCAUCAGAACAUGUUUAGAGGUGUGGGAUGUGAUGUAACAGGGAAAAUUUCCUCAGGCAGGGGUCUAAGAGGUUCCACCAGAGUUUACUGUACAACAAAUACUGAUAAGGAUUUCAGUCUGUGGUUCAUAUGAUCCCCAAAAUUUCAGUAUCUGCACUUUCUGUCAUGUGAGUGGGCAGACUGUCUUAUUUGUUCGCGCUGAUUGCAAUCAGCUUUUUGAUGCUUGAUCAUUUCCUGCAGCUGAGAAGUUAAACUUGAGUCCCCUGCAUUUGUUAAAUAUUACACAAUGGAGCAUGUGAGCUCUGUGGCUGUGUCCUGCAGAUGGACUUUAGUUGUUGACUUUCAGUUUGAAGGUCCUUUAAUAGAAGAUAGAACGCCUCCACACACUCGUCCACCUUCUUCACUUCAGCUCCACUCAUGUACAACAAACCAUUGAUAAGAAAUAUACUUUCACUGAGGUGUGUCUGGUUCUGACCCUCCUGAUCACAUUUUUGCAGUGGUUGAGGCUGCUGUCACAGAAAAAAGGACAAAAGGACCAGCAAAAAAGAACGCAGAGAGGUGAGUCAAACGGGUCAGAAAUGGCGCUUGGGUAUGUGAUCACAUUGAUACUGUUCAGCCUAUCCAGUCAGCUGGUCGCACAUGGGUCUAACUUUGCCCCAGCACUUUCCAGGCAUUCAAAACUCAUUUUAAUUGAAGCAUUUUAAAGAAUUUCAAGGGCCUACACCAGCCCCCAUGGUUAUAUAAAAUUCAACUUUUUCUUUGUGUGACAUUUAAAAAAUUAGAUCAGUGCUUUAAGCUGUAUUUCCAUUGAUUUUUUACACUCCCACAGCCUUUAAUUGUGUCUUUUAAAUUGCCAUUUGGGGUGCAGAACCCACGUAACCUCCACAAUCUGCCUCUCAGAUGUUUCGGUGUGGUAAUUAUUAGAGAGUGCCAUGCAGUGGUCAGGUUACGAUGAAACCUCCUAUUAACAGUGACCUUCCCCAGACAGCCAGACAAUGAUAUGCUGGAUAUCAUGACAGUAUAGAUAUGAACUCUACCUUAAGUUACAAUGGAGACUGACAUUUUAAAGAAAAGUGGCAGCCUUAUCAGGUGCACCUGUAGAAGUUACUCCUGUAGUACCCCUGAUUUGGCAGUGAUGACUAAGUACUUAGCUUGUACUGAUGGUACUUUAUUAGGAUUUUGAAUGGAGCACUGCUUGGCCAUAGUCCAAAAGCCAAUUCCAUUGAAGUUGGGAAAUUGUGAUAAACGUAAAUAAAAACAGAAUACAAUGAUUUCCAAAUCCUUUUCAACCCAUAUUUAAUUGAAUACACUAUAAAGACGAGAUAUUUAAUGUUCAAACUCAUAAACUUUAUUUUUUUUGCAAAUAAUAAUUAAAUCAGAAUUUCAUGGCUGCAACAUGUGCCAAAGAAGUUGGGACAGGGGCAUGUUUACCACUGUGUUACAUCACCUUUCCUUUUCACAACACGCAAUAACUGUUUGGGAACUGAGGAGACUAAUUGUUGAAGCUUUGAAGGUGGAAUUCUUUCCUAUUCUAGCUUGAUGUACAGCUUCAGUUGUUCAACAGUCUGGGGUCUCUGUUGUCGUAUGUACGCUUCAUAAUGCGCCACACAUUUUCAAUGGGAGACAGGUCUGGACUGCAGGCAGGCCAGUUGAGUACCUGCACUCUUUUACUAUGAAGCCACGCUGUUGUAACACGUGCAGAAUGUGGCUUGACAUUGUCUUGCUGAAAUAAGCAGGGGCAUCCAUGAAAAAGACGUUGCUUGGAUGGCAGCAUAUGUUUCUCCAAAACUUGUAUGUACCUUUCAGCAAUAAUGUUGCCUUCACAGAUGUGUAAGUUACCCAUGCCUCGGGCACUAAUGCACCCCCAUACCAUCACAGAUGCUGGCUUUUGAACUUUGCGUCGAUAACAGUCUGGAUGUUUUUUUUUCCUCUUUGGCCCGGAGGACACAACGUCCACUAUUUACAAAAACAACUUGAAAUGUGGACUCGUCAGACCACAGAACACUUUUCCACUUUGCAUCAGUCCAUCUUAGAUGAGCUCAGGCCCAGAGAAGCUGGCAGCGUUUCUGGAUGUUGUUGAUAAAUGGCUUUCUCUUUGCAAAGUAGAGUUUUAACUUGCACUUACAGAUGUAGCGACGAACUGUAUUUACUGACAGUGGUUUUCUGAAGUGUUCGUGAGCCUAUGUGUUGAAAUCAUUUACACAUUGAUGUCAGUUUUUGAUACACUGCCGCUAUUCACUGCCACUAUUCGACUAUUUGCUUACACAGUUGUUCACGAAGUGGUGAACCUCGCCCCAUCCAUGCUUGUGAGUGACUGAGAAUUUUUGGGGAAGCUGCUUUUAUACCCAAUCAUGGCACCCACCUGUUCCCAAUCAGCCCGCUCACCUGUGGAUGUUCCAGAUAGGUGUUUGAUGAGCAUUCCUCGAAUUUCUCAGUAUUUUUUGCCACCUUUCCCAAAUUCUUUGGCACAUGUUGCAGCCAUGAAAUUCUGUGUUAAUUAGUAAGUUUAUGAGUUUGAGCAUAAAAUGUCUUGUCUUUGUAGUAUAUUCAAUUAAAUAUAGGUUGAAAAGGAUUUGCAAAUCAUUGUUUUCUGUUUUUAUUUACGUUUAUCACAAUUUCCCAACUUCAAUGGAAUUGGGGUUUUGUAUAAUAUUGUUAUAUAAGUACCGUUGUUUUGGUAGAAGAUGAAGUACUCCUUUCCCCUGUAAACAUAUGAAGGUAUCCUCAGUCACCACCUAUGAUUAUGAUUUUAAAGUCACUCUAAGUGUUUUCUGAGGGUGUUAUUCCUGACAACUUCUGUCUCUUUUUAAUCCUUAGAUCCAACCUGAGGUUCACCUGGACAGAACACACCUCCUAAGUCUCUACAAACCCCAGGACCAUGUCUCCAUGCCACGACAGAUCUGAUCACAAGCCAUCUGGACUCAAACCUCUCUGUUUGUGGCUACACAGCUGCUCCACCUACUAUUCUCCACCUCCUCCUCUUCCUCUCCCCACCAGCUGUUCUGCCACCUCCACUAAAUCUGCCUCUCGUCGUCUCCCCCUGCUGGCUCUUCUGCUGGUCUGCACUCUGCUGCUGAUGCUGGCACUGCUGUUGUGGAACUACCAGUGUCUGUUUAUUUCCCACAUCUGUUCCCCACAGGAGAUGGAGGGGGAGGAUAGAAAAGGGGCCUCAUGACUGUUUUGGUUAAAUAUUCUGUUUUUUUCUCUUUAAACUGCAAAUAUUCUAUCAGCCUGAGUGGGGAGGAAUAGAAAGCAAAGUUCACAUUAUUUCUCAGCUCCACUUUAGUAGCUAAUUUAAAGAGAAAAGUCUGUGUACAGCCACAAAAUGUCUCUUUAAGUUUUCUAAAUGCUACCCCAGAAUUUCACUUCCAGCUCAAAGAUCCAGACAGAUUGAAAAUAUAACAGUCAAAAAUUUAGGAGCAGAGCUGCUGACAACUUGAUUUUUGAUCCAAAUUAACUGGAUCCUACAUUUCCCAUGAUGCUGCUGGGCCGUCUUUCAUUACAUCAGUGUAAAUUUCUGUGAUACCUCCAAUUUUUGCCACACAGGUAAAUGUAUAGUAAACAGAUGUAAUUUGAAUACACCACUGGAUGGAUGUUCUUUUAAAACUCAUGGACCUUUCAAAAUAAAAGCUCUCUAACUGCGCCA